rnacentral:rRNA from 1 species
UACGUAGAGGGCAAGCGUUGUCCGGAUUUAUUGGGCGUAAAGAGCGUGUAGGCGGCUUGGUAGGUCCGCUGUGAAAACUCGAGGCUCAACCUCGAGAUGUCGGCGGAAACCACUUGGCUAGAGUCCGGAAGAGGAGAGUGGAAUUCCCGGUGUAGCGGUGAAAUGCGCAGAUAUCGGGAAGAACACCUAUGGCGAAGGCAGCUCUCUGGGACGGUACUGACGCUGAGACGCGAAAGCGUGGGGAGCGAACAGG